GCUUUCAACAUCCCCGUUCGUUUCCGCGCAUUGCGGAAGCAGGACUGAAGGC
rnacentral:sRNA from 1 species